AUUCUUUUCUUUCUUCAUAGAUGUCUUCUGGAAUCGAAGACUAGACUAAACAUAAUCUUACAUAUUUUAAAGUUUAACUUUUUAAAAUUAAGUGCUUAUUAUUGUAAGUUCAAGUAAAGAUUUUGUUGCUUUAUAUAUGGGUUGUAAGGAAAACGUUUAAUUUAUACGUUAUUAUUGGUUUAUAAAUGUUGGGCUACUGGAAAUUAAGUAUUUAUCAUUUUUCAAGCGUUUGUUUAAAACGUUCGUAAAUUAAUAUGUACUUCUUUCGAUGUUACGUUUUUUCUGUACAAAAAAGAAAACCGAACAAACGGAAAAACGUCACCUACGAAUUUGUAUUGCUCUUUUAUAGAAUAAUAUAAAUUAUUGAAGAGCAAUCCAUAGCAUUUAUACAUAUUAUACAUAUACACACAUGUAUACAUACAUAUAUACAUAUGCAUAUAUAAAUCGUUUGAUAAAGCGAAUACAACAAUCUGUGCAAUGCAUCAGAUUUGUUAAUCAUUAAAUGUAAACUUUUGUAUACACGUUUUGUGAUCUAGUUUUGAUACUUGUUUAUUUUCCUUUGGAUACUCUUCUGUACAUACAUAAAAAUGAUCAAACAUUUAAUGCCAGCUUAUAUCUGAUGUUGGGUAUUGCUGUCUCUUUUGUUACCAUUCAAUAUUUAAAUAAACAUGUUUCAAAAUAAAACUGUACGAGUUAUCAAUGUUUUAUUAAACUAUGAGUAGUAUUUUUAGCGUGAUUAAUGUUAAAUUAUGUAAUUGAAGUCUUUAAUAAAAAAAACUACAUUUUUAUUGUACACCAAUAUCAAGCAUCAGAUACAAACGUAUUUGCUGAAUAAAAUGUAACUGAAUGGUUAUUUAAAACAAAUAAUAUAAAUAAGUUGCAAAUAGUUUUACAUACUGCAAUAAAGGUACAUUUCGUACAAUAUAAAAGAAAAUAUAGAAACUAAGACUGUACAAAAUAAUAUACAAUUGUUGUACAAGAUAGAAACUAAUUUUAAAAGUAUUCAGUUCUGAAACAUAAUGUUCAUUAUAGUGUAUAAACGAUUGUUAUUUUUCAAUACCAUUGGAAACAUAUUGAAUUCUUUAAUCUUCUUAUCAAGUGAAUGAUACAAAGAAAUUAUGUAAUUUGCUUAACAAUGGAUUUUAUAAAAUUUAAGAAACGAAAUAAUGCAACACCAUAUCUUCUAGUAUGCCUAGUCAUAUGAAAAGAGAUGAAAAAAGAGAAGAAAAAGUAAGAAUGAUAUAUUAUGACAUAUUCUAUUUCAAAAGAGUUAAUUCACUUGUGAAUAUUGUAUACAAUCAAUAAAUGUUAUAGAUCUUUAGAUGAAUUUCAACUGAAUGUUUUGAUAAGCAAAAUGUCCUAUAAUUUGAUCAUGAGCAAGUAAAUUGAUUUAAUAAUUAUUGAAGUUUGUCCACUAUUCUUUAAGCAAUGAAAUAGAAAUUCAUUUUAUAAAAAACUGUACAUAAUUUUCAAUUUAUCAAGUUUACCCUACAGUACAAAUAGCUUUUGUUUGAACUAUUACAAUAAAUCCUAGGAGGCUGAGUUGACUGUCCUUUGUCAGGAGCUGUUGUCAAUUGACAAAAUGAUUCAUUAAAGCAUCAUACAGCUUACAAUUAAAAAUGUUUAUUUAUUUAGUGGCUCUAGCCGCUACAAUAUUCUUUAUUUUUGGACUGUUACACCUCAGGUGUUUAAAUGGUUGGCUGCAAUCAUCAUUUUGCUAUGUCUCGAAUGUUUAUAACGGAUUAACUCACAGAUCUAUGAUUGAAGCAACAUUACAGAAUGAGAAUCUGGAAAGUAAUUUAACAGCAGCAAGGUCUGAGAGACCUUUUGUUGUAAUCAAUGAAUGGCGAGAACAUGAGAAUAUAUCUGAUGUAUUGAACAACACAGAAAGAUUACCAGAUCCAAUAUUAGAAGAACCUGGAAUUAAAUUAAGGGAUUUGAAUCCGCUGUACAACUUAGAGAAUGUUUCUCCAACUGAAAUGAAUAAAGAUGUUACAAAAACAUUAGAACUAAGCACAGCAAAAGUCAGUGGUAUUGGUACAUCUAGAAACGAAGGAAACGAGAACAUAUUUGAAUCCAUAAAAAAUUCUACUGAAAAAGUUACCAAUCAAUUAAAUACCCACUUAAUACAUCAUUUGAUCACGAAAGAAACUAUGAAAGGAAAUGAAAUAAAACAGAAGUUGAUGGAUAGUUUAAAAGAGAAGCUAACUGAUUCACCUAUUGAAGUAAAGGACCAUCCAUCAGCAUCAAAAAUAGAGUACAAAGACAAUCUUAAUAAAUCUAAAUCCAAUGAUAUACCUUAGAAUUAAAAUGUAACAUGAAUGAAAAAUAAAAUACCAUACAAAAUAUUCCAAAUUUUCUUUUGCUCCUUUUUAUCACUUAUUUUCAGCGAAAACCACUGUGUGCAUAUUACUGCCGACCAGAUUUUCAUUAGUAACAGGAGAACAAAAUGAUAAUGAAGGUAGUUCCUCUCAAAGAAAGACACAUAUUUUGCUAUCUUAAGUGUUGAGAUAUAUUUAUCGGCUCCUCAUCUAAAAUAAACGAACAUUGAUGUAUGUUAUAUCCCCUCCCUGCCUAGCACUUGUCUACUUCUGCACCUACCCAUAAUUAAAAUAUCUACGGAGUGGGGAUCAACACCUAAGACAGAAAAUAUCUACCUCUCUCUUCAACCUUCUCACGCGUUUUUCUAACACUCUGCUGAUGGCCAGAGACUCUCCAGUCUUUUCAGUGUUCUUCAAUAGUAUAAGCUCUAUAAGCAAAACCAUAGACGUAGCAAAACACACCGUGUUACUAUUAGAGCUGCCAACUUGUGGAAUACUCGGGUACUCGAGUAAUCGUGAGAUAGCUAGUUACUUGUGAAAUGUCCGGGUAAAAUUAUCUGGCUGCAUGGGGUAUCCGUGAGAUACUUGAAUACUUGUAGAAUCGAAAUGAAAAUUUUCGACCAUCUUAUAGAUUCAGGUAUUUUACGGGUACCCGGAUCAAUAGCCUCAGUCACAACACGAUUACCCCUACUACGAGAGUUUUGGGAUCUAGGGCUCGCCACUACAGCCCCCACCGUAGGGAACUAUCGAGCGUCUAGGUUAGUUAGUUUCGAAGCAUUGGAGAGAAAAGAUCAUCGAGCAGGCGAAAAUGGAUUUAUAUCAACCUUGUAUAAUCAGUGCAGAUCAACCAAGUACGAACAAUGUAAAUCAACCGAGUACAAGCAAUGUAAACCAACAGAACACAAGCAGUACGAUGCAACUGAGUACGAGCAAUGCCAUUCAAACGAACCGGAAAUCGUAUUCUUCGUUAACGCUUCAGCAGAAAUUAGAGGUAUUGAAAUUAAAAGAUGCUGGUGCAUCAACGAAUUACUUAGCGAUACGAUACAAGGUCGACGAGAGUACGAUCCGGAAAUGGAUACGUGAAAGGGAAAAGCUAGAAAAGUAUAGUAGCUUAUCUGCUGAGUCGAAACGGGUGCGUCUAUCCCCCGUAGAGAAGGUGAAUGAAGCGUUAACAAUAUGGUUCCACCGAGAAAAAAAAUUAAACAGAACAGUCAGUGUUACGGAUGUCAAAG
rnacentral:misc_RNA from 1 species